GUGGGGAAUCUUAGACAAUGGGGGAAACCCUGAUCUAGCCAUGCCGCGUGAGCGAUGAAGGCCUUAGGGUUGUAAAGCUCUUUCAGCUGGGAAGAUAAUGACGGUACCAGCAGAAGAAGCCCCGGCUAACUCCGUGCCAGCAGCCGCGGUAAUACGGAGGGGGCUAGCGUUGUUCGGAAUUACUGGGCGUAAAGCGCGCGUAGGCGGACCAGAAAGUUGGAGGUGAAAUCCCAGGGCUCAACCUUGGAACUGCCUUCAAAACUCCUGGUCUGGAGUUCGAGAGAGGUGAGUGGAAUUCCGAGUGUAGAGGUGAAAUGCGUAGAGAUUGGGAGGAACACCAGUGGCGAAGGCGACUUACUGGGCCGUAACUGACGCUGAAGCGCGAAAGCGUGGGGAGCGAACAGGAUUAGAAACCCUAGUAGUCC
rnacentral:rRNA from 1 species